AGACUUUGAUCCUGGCUCAGGACGAACGCUGGCGGCGCGCCUGACACAUGCAAGUCGAACGAAGUCAAGAGGAGCUUGCCCUUUUUGACUUAGUGGCGAACGGGUGAGUAACGCGUGAGGAACCUGCCUCAAAGAGGGGGACAACAGUUGGAAACGACUGCUAAUACCGCAUAAGCCCACAGCUCCGCAUGGAGCAGAGGGAAAAGGAGCAAUCCGCUUUGAGAUGGCCUCGCGUCCGAUUAGCUAGUUGGUGAGGUAACGGCCCACCAAGGCGACGAUCGGUAGCCGGACUGAGAGGUUGAUCGGCCACAUUGGGACUGAGACACGGCCCAGACUCCUACGGGAGGCAGCAGUGGGGAAUAUUGCACAAUGGGGGAAACCCUGAUGCAGCGACGCCGCGUGGAGGAAGAAGGCCUUCGGAUUGUAAACUCCUGUUGUUGGGGAAGAUAAUGACGGUACCCAACAAGGAAGUGACGGCUAACUACGUGCCAGCAGCCGCGGUAAAACGUAGGUCACAAGCGUUGUCCGGAAUUACUGGGUGUAAAGGGAGCGCAGGCGGGAAGACAAGUUGGAAGUGAAAUCUAUGGGCUCAACCCAUAAACUGCUUUCAAAACUGUUUUUCUUGAGUAGUGCAGAGGUAGGCGGAAUUCCCGGUGUAGCGGUGGAAUGCGUAGAUAUCGGGAGGAACACCAGUGGCGAAGGCGGCCUACUGGGCACCAACUGACGCUGAGGCUCGAAAGUGUGGGUAGCAAACAGGAUUAGAUACCCUGGUAGUCCACACUGUAAACGAUGAUUACUAGGUGUUGGGGGAUUGACCCCCUCAGUGCCGCAGUUAACACAAUAAGUAAUCCACCUGGGGAGUACGACCGCAAGGUUGCAACUCAAAGGAAUUGA
rnacentral:rRNA from 1 species